rnacentral:rRNA from 1 species
UAGGGAAUCUUCGGCAAUGGACGAAAGUCUGACCGAGCAACGUCGCGUGAGUGAAGAAGGGUUUCGGAUCGUAAAACUCUGUUGUUAGAGAAGAACAAGGACGUUAGUAACUGAACGUCCCCUGACGGUAUCUAACCAGAAAGCCACGGCUAACUACGUGCCAGCAGCCGCGGUAAUACGUAGGUGGCAAGAGUUGUCCGGAUUUAUUGGGCGUAAAGCGAGCGCAGGCGGUUUCUUAAGUCUGAUGUGAAAGCCCCCGGCUCAACCGGGGAGGGUCAUUGGAAACUGGGGGAAUUGAGUGCAGAAGAGGGGAGUGGAAUUCCAUGUGUAGCGGUGAAAUGCGUAGAUAUAUGGUGGAACACCAGUGGCGAAGGCGGCUCUCUGGUCUGUAACUGACGCUGAGGCUCGAGAGCGUGGGGAGCACACAGG